GGGGAAUAUUGCACAAUGGGCGAAAGCCUGAUGCAGCAACGCCGCGUGCGGGAUGACGGCCUUCGGGUUGUAAACCGCUUUUAGUAAGGAAGAAGGGGAGCUUGCUCCUUGACGGUACUUGCAGAAAAAGGACCGGCUAACUACGUGCCAGCAGCCGCGGUAAUACGUAGGGUCCGAGCGUUGUCCGGAAUUAUUGGGCGUAAAGAGCUCGUAGGCGGUUUGUCGCGUCUGCUGUGAAAUCCCGAGGCUCAACCUCGGGCCUGCAGUGGGUACGGGCAGACUUGAGUGGUGUAGGGGAGAUUGGAAUUCCUGGUGUAGCGGUGGAAUGCGCAGAUAUCAGGAGGAACACCGAUGGCGAAGGCAGAUCUCUGGGCACUUACUGACGCUGAGGAGCGAAAGCGUGGGGAGCGAAC
rnacentral:rRNA from 1 species